rnacentral:rRNA from 1 species
UACGUAGGGCGCAAGCGUUAUCCGGAAUUAUUGGGCGUAAAGAGCUCGUAGGUGGUUUGUCGCGUUGUUCGUGAAAACCGGGGGCUUAACCCUCGGCGUGCGGGCGAUACGGGCAGACUGGAGUACUGCAGGGGAGACUGGAAUUCCUGGUGUAGCGGUGGAAUGCGCAGAUAUCAGGAGGAACACCGGUGGCGAAGGCGGGUCUCUGGGCAGUAACUGACGCUGGAGGAGCGAAAGCGUGGGGAGCGAACAGG